rnacentral:ncRNA from 2 species
GACGAUUUCAUAUCGAUCAGUCGUAUAUCUUCGGGAAUUGGCCCGAAGGUCUCUACGGGGAGCCUUAACUUCCCAGCUACGACCGGGUUCUUUUGCGGU